rnacentral:rRNA from 1 species
GACGAACGCUGGCGGCGUGCUUAACACAUGCAAGUCGAACGGAAAGGCCCUGCUUUUGUGGGGUGCUCGAGUGGCGAACGGGUGAGUAACACGUGAGUAACCUGCCCUUGACUUUGGGAUAACUUCAGGAAACUGGGGCUAUACCGGAUAGGAGCUCCUGCUGCAUGGUGGGGGUUGGAAAGUUUCGGCGGUUGGGGAUGGACUCGCGGCUUAUCAGCUUGUUGGUGGGGUAGUGGCUUACCAAGGCUUUGACAGGUAGCCGGCCUGAGAGGGUGACCGGCCACAUUGGGACUGAGAUACGGCCCAGACUCCUACGGGAGGCAGCAGUGGGGAAUAUUGCACAAUGGGCGGAAGCCUGAUGCAGCAACGCCGCGUGCGGGAUGACGGCCUUCGGGUUGUAAACCGCUUUCGCCUGUGACGAAGCGUGAGUGACGGUAAUGGGUAAAGAAGCACCGGCUAACUACGUG